rnacentral:rRNA from 1 species
GCGCACCAGUCGCGAAUCUUUCGCAAUGGGCGAAAGCCUGACGAAGCGACGCCGUGUGAAUGAAGAAGGCCUUCGGGUUGUAAAGUUCUUUCGCUAGGGAACAAGAGAGGAGAGCUAAUAAUUCUCCGAUUUGAGCGUACCUGGUAAAGAAGCACCGGCUAACUCCGUGCCAGCAGCUGCGGUAAUACGGAGGGUGUAAGCAUUAAUCGGAAUUAUUGGGCGUAAAGGGCGCGUAGGCGGAUUUGCCAGUCAGAUGUGAAAUACCGAGGCUUAACUUCGGUGCUGCAUUUGAUACUACAAAUCUUGAGGAUAGACGGAGAAAACGGAAUUCCACGUGUAGCGGUGGAAUGCGUGGAUAUGUGGAAGAACACCGGUGCGAAGGCGGUUUUCUAGUUUUAUUCCUGACGCUGAGGCGCGAGAGCAAGGGGAGCAAAACAGGAUUAGAUACCCCGGUAGU